rnacentral:rRNA from 1 species
AUGUGGAUCCCCAAUCUUGACUCUAUAAUGCUACAGGGGAUAACAGCAAUCCACACCAAGAGAGUGUCUAACGACACAGCAACUGAUUCGAAAGAGAAGCGGACCUGGGGCGCGCGGGCGCUCGAGGAGGAUCUCCUCGGUGGAGACGACGGUGAGGCGCGCGGAGGCGUCGUCGCCGCUGGCGGCGUCGCCGAACUUGGCCCAGUUGCGGCGCUCGACGGCGGCCUUGGAGAGGCGCGCGCGGGCGAGCUUGCGGACGCGGGUGGUGGUGGUGACCUUGACCUUGUUGCCGUCGUCGUCGAAGCGGUACUCGAUCGUCUUCUUGAAGCCGUUCUCGUCGGGCCCGAUGACCACCCGCGGCGGGAGAAGGAAGUCGAGGUCGCCCCCGUCGUCCUCCUCGAGCUCCCCCCACCGGAUCUUCGCGUCCGCCGGCAUGGCUACCGCUCGCUGGAUGGAUGGGGCGCUAGGGUUCGGGGUGCGGCGGCGUGGAAUGGGGAGGAGUGGGGAGCUUUGGCUUGGUUGUGA